GAUGAACGCUAGCUACAGGCUUAACACAUGCAAGUCGAGGGGCAUCAUGACGAAAGCUUGCUUUUGUUGAUGGCGACCGGCGCACGGGUGAGUAACGCGUAUCCAACCUUCCCCUUAGUAGAGGAUAGCCCGGCGAAAGUCGGAUUAAUACUCUAUGUUCUUUCUGGAUGGCAUCUGAUGGAAAGCAAAGGUUCACCGCUAAGGGAUGGGGAUGCGUCUGAUUAGGUAGUUGGUGGGGUAAGAGCCUACCAAGGCGACGAUCGGUAGCCGGUCUGAGAGGAUGAACGGUCACAAUGGAACUGAGACACGGUCCAUACUCC
rnacentral:rRNA from 1 species